rnacentral:rRNA from 1 species
UGCAGUCGAGCGGAUGAUGAAGAAGCUUGCUUCUUCUGAUUUUAGCGGCGGACGGGUGAGUAACACGUGGGCAACCUACCUUGUAGAUUGGGAUAACUCCGGGAAACCGGGGCUAAUACCGAAUAAACCAUUUUGCUUCAUGGCAAGAUGUUGAAAGGCGGCUUCGGCUGUCACUACUAGAUGGGCCCGCGGCGUAUUAGCUAGUUGGUAGGGUAAUGGCCUACCAAGGCGACGAUACGUAGCCGACCUGAGAGGGUGAUCGGCCACACUGGGACUGAAACACGGCCCAGACUCCUACGGGAGGCAGCAGUAGGGAAUCUUCCACAAUGGACGAAAGUCUGAUGGAGCAACGCCGCGUGAGUGAAGAAGGUUUUCGGAUCGUAAAACUCUGUUGUAAGGGAAGAACACGUACGAGAGUAACUGCUCGUACCUUGACGGUACCUUAUUAGAAAGCCACGGCUAACUACGUGCCAACAGCCGCGGUAAUACGUAGGUGGCAAGCGUUGUCCGGAAUUAUUGGGCGUAAAGCGCGCGCAGGCGGUUCUUUAAGUCUGAUGUGAAAGCCCACGGCUCAACCGUGGAGGGUCAUUGGAAACUGGAGAACUUGAGUACAGAAGAGGAAAGCGGAAUUCCACGUGUAGCGGUGAAAUGCGUAGAGAUGUGGAGGAACACCAGUGGCGAAGGCGGCUUUCUGGUCUGUAACUGACGCUGAGGCGCGAAAGCGUGGGGAGCAAACAGGAUUAGAUACCCUGGUAGUCCACGCCGUAAACGAUGAGUGCUAAGUGUUAGGGGUUUCCGCCCCUUAGUGCUGCAGCUAACGCAUUAAGCACUCCGCCUGGGGAGUACGACCGCAAGGUUGAAACUCAAAGGAAUUGACGGGGCCCGCACAAGCG